rnacentral:rRNA from 1 species
ACAGAAGAAGUCCCGGCAAACUCCGUGCCAGCAGCCGCGGUAAUACGGAGGGGGCAAGCGUUGUUCGGAAUUAUUGGGCGUAAAGGGCAUGUAGGCGGUUUGGUAAGUUAAAGGUGAAAUACCAGGGCUUAACCCUGGGGCUGCUUUUAAUACUGCAGGACUAGAGUCCGGAAGAGGAUAGCGGAAUUCCUAGUGUAGAGGUGAAAUUCGUAGAUAUUAGGAGGAACACCAGUGGCGAAGGCGGCUGUCUGGUCCGGUACUGACGCUGAGGUGCGAAAGCGUGGGGAGCAAACAUGAUUAGAUACCCUGGUAGUCCACGCUGUAAACGAU